rnacentral:rRNA from 1 species
GCGCCUUGCCAGCCCGCUCAGAAACUCAAAGGAAGUUCGACGGGUCCCCGACACAAGCAGCGGAGCGUGUGGUUUAAUUCGAUGGGUACGCGAAGAACCUUACCAGGGUUUGACAUGCAGGUGGUAGGGAUCCGAAAGGUGAACGACCCUUCGGGAGCCUGCACAGGUGCUGCAUGGCUGUCGUCAGCUCGUGUCGUGAGAUGUUCGGUUAAGUCCGCUAACGAGCGCAACCCUCGUCGUGUGUUACAAGUGUCACACGAGACCGCCGGUUUUAAGCCGGAGAAAGGUGAGGAUGAAGUCAAGUCAGCAUGGCCUUUAUAUCCUGGGCUACACACACGCUACAAUGGCUGGUACAAUUGGUCGCGAAACCGCGAGGUGGAGCCAAUCCUUAAAGCCAGCCUCAGUUCAGAUUGUAGGCUGCAACUCGCCUGCAUGAAGAUGGAGUUGCUAGUAAACGCAGGUCAGCAUUACUGCGUUGAAUACGUUCCCGGGGAUU